GACGAACGCUGGCGGCGUGCUUAACACAUGCAAGUCGAACGGAAAGGCCCUGCUUGCAGGGUACUCGAGUGGCGAACGGGUGAGUAACACGUGGGUGAUCUGCCCUGCACUUCGGGAUAAGCCUGGGAAACUGGGUCUAAUACCGGAUAGGAGCCAUUUUUAGUGUGAUGGUUGGAAAGUUUUUUCGGUGUAGGAUGAGCUCGCGGCCUAUCAGCUUGUUGGUGUGGUAAUGGCCUACCAAGGCGGCGACGGGUAGCCGGCCUGAGAGGGUGGACGGCCACAUUGGGACUGAGAUACGGCCCAGACUCCUACGGGAGGCAGCAGUGGGGAAUAUUGCACAAUGGGCGCAAGCCUGAUGCAGCGACGCCGCGUGGGGGAUGACGGACUUCGGGUUGUAAACUCCUUUCGCUAGGGACGAAGCUUUUUGUGACGGUACCUAGAUAAGAAGCACCGGCUAACUACGUG
rnacentral:rRNA from 1 species